rnacentral:rRNA from 1 species
UACGUAGGGGCCUAGCGUUGUCCGGAAUUAUUGGGCGUAAAGAGCGUGUAGGCGGCUUGGUAAGUCCGCUGUGAAAGUCCAGGGCUCAACCCUGGAAAGCCGGUGGAAACUGUCAAGCUUGAGUCCGGAAGAGGCGAGUGGAAUUCCUGGUGUAGCGGUGAAAUGCGCAGAUAUCAGGAGGAACACCAAUGGCGAAGGCAGCUCGCUGGGACGGUACUGACGCUGAGACGCGAAAGCGUGGGGAGCAAACAGG